rnacentral:lncRNA from 1 species
CAAGACUCGAAGUGUGGCCCCAGGGGCUUGGCCAACAAGAAGCCUGUGGCAAUUCCUGACGCAGUAGUUCUGGGAAGUUGAUUUACCCAAUAAACCUCCCUGCAUGGGCUCAGUUUAAGUUUGCAGCUUACUAUAAAUAAAUGUUUGUUCAAUGAACACAACUGAAUGGGCAGGCUAGCUUGGCUAAUAGUAUCUAUGAUUUAGCUACUCUAGAGCCUUCCAAAGGUAUCAGGUGUGCCUUAUCCAUUAGCACAGAGAGGCACAGGGCUGAGCAGGUGAAGGGAGUACACCGCUGUGGUUUGACCUGCUCAAUAUCCCUUCUUCCUGAAACAGAAUCUAUCUUUUCUUCUUGGGGAGCCACCCCUCCACUACUUUUAGCCCUUGGCUUAGGUUCUUCUUUUAAGACUCAGUUCUACCAGGAGGUAACCUCUGGUAAAUUCUCAAAUCCUAGUGCCAGGGUUAGGCAUGCGAUCAAGGCAAUAUAUCCAAGAAGCGGUAUGGGAGGCAAUUUGAGCCAAUGAGAUGCAACUCAAUACCUGGAGCCCCUGGGCCAGAGACUUGGAGUUUGUAUAUCUGCAAUUGUUGGGGUUUUGCCUUCUCUCCAAGAAAGCCUGAGUGAGGAUGAAGACAACAGGAUAAAGCAGAAACGAGAGGGAGAGAUGGAUUCCUCCUGACACCAUUUGAGCUCCUCCUUCUCCAGCUGAGCGUGAGCUAGCCCUGCAUUUUCCCGUUGCGUGGGCUCGUAAAUUCUCUUUGUGCUUGAGUGGGUUUGAGGUGGGCAUCUUUCACCUAAAUACAAUGGCAAACUGAGAGGGUACCUUCUGUUAUCUCUUCACCAGCAGAGUGGAAAAGCAACAGAGUCCUCCUUGUGACCUGAAUUAUAGAUUUCACAGCUCUUUUCAAGGGUUAGCCUCUGUGUUGACUUUUGGUCUUCCCAACUCAGGUGCUUGAUUUAAGCUCUAGUCUGAAAUUAAUUCCACAUUUUGUAAAAUAAGGAGGAAACAGGAGCUGGUGAGGAAGCAUCAACAUUUUACAAUAAGAUCGAUUUAUAUAAAAUUUGCUAAACAUCUGCCAGUGUAUCCACUGCCGAGCCUGGAUUAUCAUCUCCAGCAUGGAGUACUGUCUUUUUCUUAACUGCAUGGGAGCCAUUCUGAGAAACAGUAGGAAAUAACUUUGUUAAAAGAUGGAGAAGAGUCAUCUGGACAAUGGAAAUUAGUAUUCUAUUACCUUUCAAGUUUGAUGAGUAUGGGUUUGGGGUUUAGUAAGUAGUAAAUAUGGUUUGCAUGUCUGUGUCUCUGGCAAGAGGAUAUAUAUCUCUGAAUAGAACUUGGUCAGCAAAUAUAAACUGCCUUUAGGUUCAUAUAGUUUGACAAACAUGCUUUUCUAACCUGUGGGUCAGAUGGAGAUGUGGUUCUUUCUUGUUCCCUGCAGACACCCUGGUCUCCCUUUGUAUUAGUCCAUUUUCACACUGCUAUAAAGAAUACCUGAGACUGGGUAAUUUAUUAAAAAAAAAGAGGUUUAAUUGAUUCACAGUUGAGCAUGGCUGGAGAGGCUGCAGGAAACUUACAAUCAUGGUGAAAGGCAAAGGGGGAAGCAAGGCGUGUCUUACAUGGUGGGAGGAGAGAGAGAGACAGCAAGGGAAGGGGACGUGCUACAUUUUUAAACCAUCAGAUCUCAUAAGAACUCUCUCACUAUCACAAGAACAGCAUGGGGGAAACCACGCCCAUGAUCCAAUCACCUCCCACUGGUUCCUCCCUCAACACUUAGGGAUUAUAAUUCAAGAUGAGAUUUGGAUGGGGACAGAAAGCCAAACCAUAUCACCCUUCUUCUACAUAUCCAAAAUGUUCCCUACCUUUUCAAUUCAAGCCAUGUGUGAGAUUGGGAAAGUUCUCAAUGUGCUUCAGUGAUCUUAUCUGUAAAAUGAGCAGCUUGGACUAGAUCAAUGGUUCCAACUUUAAAAAAAGGAGUAGAAUUCUUUGUUCAAACAGAACUUACACUGAACCCCCAUAAAUAAACAGAUAAAACUGUUGCUAUUAAAAUGUGGGUGGGACCUGGAAGCCUCCUUGGUUGGCCUCAAGGAUGGCUCUUGAGGUACCUUCAUGAGCCUUUAAGACUCAGAUGAACAGCCAGGCCUGGUGGUUCAUGCCUGUAAUCCCGGCACUUUGGGAGGCCAUGGAGGGCGGCUGACCUGAGGUCAGGAGUUCGAGACCAGCCUGGCCAACUUGGCAAAACCUAGUCUCUACUAAAAAUACAAAAAUUAGCCAGGUGUGGUGGCGGGCACCUGUAGUCCCAGCUACUCAGGAGGCUGAGGCAGGAGAAUCUCUUGAACUCGGGAGGUAGAGGUUGCAGUGAGCCGAGAUUGCACCACUUCACUCCAGCCUGGGCAACAGAGAGAGACUCCAUCUCAAAAAAAAGACUCAGAUGAACUAUUUCAGAGCCUCAGACCAGAUGUUCUCCAAGAUCUUUUCCAUCUCCCAACAUUGCAGUCCUGUUUUUAAGUGCCACAUCUUCUGUGAAGCCUUUUUAAUACCCUGACUCAUGCAGAUUGCUUCUUUUUCUGUGCCACUUAGCGUUUGUGACUAUGCACACACACUGCCCGUGUUUGUACACUGAACCACGUAUGGAGAUUGUCUUUCUUUGAAGCUUGUACCUCUAUGCAUUUCUUUUGGAAACUGACUCAAAACUGACUAGUAAGGUACAGAAUGUAACUGAAAGAACUCAGGAAAUGGGGAGAUAAAUUUUGUUCACAGUCCAGGGAAAGGUCUGCCCUCCUGGGGCAAGUCGCCUGUGCUGGCAUAUGGUGAGCUGCUAGCCCAAAGCAAAUAAAAUCUGGAUAGAUAUGAAGCAUGGGUACCAGGCACAGAUGGGCGGCACAGACCUAAGGUCCCCAUAAUUGGUCCGUCUCCCAGAUCUUUUUUUCCUGGUGCUCGUGUUGGCCAAGCUGUGGUAGUUGGAAGGCCAUGGAAGAUGUUUGCAUAGCCUCACCUUUCAGCGUCACUGGGCCAGCCACUGCAGUAGAUGGUUAGGUUACUACUAAAGACACCAUCAGGGGGAAAAGCCUGGGCUUGUCUCUACUACCCCACCUGCCUUAGUUGUUUUCUUUCCACUGUGGGUCGAGUUCUGCUUUCCUGAAUAGCGGGCUUUUUUACUGUCAUCCUCAGUCUGGGGUUAUGUGUAAACUUUAGGGAGCUUAGAAACAUACCUCACACUGGAUGUGAUUUUUGCAAGACCAGCCAUGUUCAGUGGGACCUACCCUAGGGCAGUAUGUAGUGAACAGAUUCUGGAGGCUCAGGAAGAGACAUUAUGGCUGGAGCACCACCUAGUGGCAGUGAAGAACAGUGCAUGUGAUGAACCAAUGAUCUUCCCAGUGAAGUGUAAAUGGGAGCAUUUCUCAAGGAUGGAUCAUAACUGACUAUUGUGUGUCUCAAGGUUGGCUCCAAACCAGCAGAAGCUGAAUAAAGAACUGUGAACUUGGAAUGACUGUGGGACGCUAGGCUCUUACUGGUCCUAACUGAAGACUUUUUCCCAACAGCGAGCAAUGGGGCUUCUUUUAACCAACUCUAUUUACAACCUUAGAUUCAUUCCGUUCUUUGCAAAGUACUGGAUUUCAACACUUAAUUAGCAAUAACCACAUGAACCUACCCUGGCAAGCCCUUUAACAACUCUGAAUUUUCCCUCUCAGUGAGCUACUACUUAAUUCAGUAAAUUUCUCCCUAUCCUGUAUUCCUGUGGCUAGCAAGUCAAUAGACUCAGCUUUUAUUUUAUUUUGAGUUGGAGUCUCGCUCUGUCAUUCAGGCUAGAGUGCAGUAGCUUCAUUUUGGCUCACUGCAACCUCUGCCUCCCGGGUUCAAGCGAUUCUCUUGCCUCAGCCUCCUGGGUAGCUGGGACUACAGGCAUGUGCCACCAUGCCCAGCUAAUUUCUGCAUUUCUAGUGGAGAUGGGGUUUCACCAUGUUGGCCAGGCUGGUCUUGAACUCCUCACCUCAAGUGAUCCACCGGCCUCGGCCUCCCAAAGUGCUGGGAUUACAGGCAUGAGCCAGUGCUCCUGACCUCAACUUUUAAUUUUUAUCUAUCGAUCUAGUCUAUUAUUACCCGCUACUUACCUACCCAUCCAUCCAUUCAUCCAUCCAUCCAUCUGCCCAUCCUUUUUUUUGUUUAUUAGCUCUGGUCUUUGUUAUAUUUGUUGAUAGGCCCAAGUAAAUUAGUAUGUGUAAAACUCACUUAAAACAGUGCUUAGCACAUGGUAAGCAUAAUAUGUGAUAGCCCUUAUGAUCUAGUAACUCACCAGUAUCUUGUGUGUAUUAGAACAAUGUGUCUCUGUAAUAUUUUAAUUAUAUCUCUAUAAGAGCAUACAUAAAUGACAAUAUAUAAAUCUCAAUAACAGAAUGUUUCUAACCCAAGUUUUAAGUAAUGAUAUGUGUUCAGGAAUACUUCAUCUGGCAUCUAGGGGAAUGGUUGGGAAGAUUUUGAGCUUCUCCAGUGGGAAAAAGGCUGGCAUAUUCAGGUCUAACUUCAGAGUCAAAGUCUUUGAAGUUAAUAAAUAGUUUUUAAUUUUGA